UGGGGAAUUUUGGACAAUGGGCGAAAGCCUGAUCCAGCAAUGCCGCGUGUGUGAAGAAGGCCUUCGGGUUGUAAAAGCACUUUUUGUCCGGAAAAGAAAUCCUUGGGCUCUAAUACAGUCGGGGGAUGACGGUACCGGAAGAAUAAGCACCGGCUAACUACGUGCCAGCAGCCGCGGUAAUACGUAGGGUGCAAGCGUUAAUCGGAAUUACUGGGCGUAAAGCGUGCGCAGGCGGUUUGCUAAGACCGAUGUGAAAUCCCCGGGCUCAACCUGGGAACUGCAUUGGUGACUGGCAGGCUAGAGUAUGGCAGAGGGGGGUAGAAUUCCACGUGUAGCAGUGAAAUGCGUAGAGAUGUGGAGGAAUACCGAUGGCGAAGGCAGCCCCCUGGGCCAAUACUGACGCUCAUGCACGAAAGCGUGGGGAGCAGACAGGAUUAGAUACCCUGGUAGUCCACGCCCUAAACGAUGUCAACUAGUUGUUGGGGAUUCAUUCCUUAGUAACGUAGCUAACGCGUGAAGUUGACCGCCUGGGGAGUACGGUCGCAAGAUU
rnacentral:rRNA from 1 species